UUGCUAAUUAAUUUUUGCUUACAAUGCGUUGUUGCAACAAGAAGAUCAUAAAUUCAGCCAAUCACAACAAUUGCGAUUGUAAUAAAGAUCGAUGCAGGGUAUCCGGAAUCGCGCGGUUGCGAUACAGGAUCACCGGCCGGCAACGCAUCGCUGCUGUACCGCCUCCUUUUCGCGGCUGUAUCGCUGCAGUCGCGGUGGGAGAUCACCCUUACGGAGAGGCGGCGGUGAGCGGUGAGCGAGCGCACCUAGGUACAAAGACAAACAUUUAUGGUU